rnacentral:rRNA from 1 species
AUUGAACGCUGGCGGCAUGCCUUACACAUGCAAGUCGAACGGUAACGGGCCUUCGGGUGCCGACGAGUGGCGAACGGGUGAGUAAUACAUCGGAACGUGCCCGAUCGUGGGGGAUAACGAGGCGAAAGCUUUGCUAAUACCGCAUACGAUCUACGGAUGAAAGCAGGGGACCGCAAGGCCUUGCGCGGACGGAGCGGCCGAUGGCAGAUUAGGUAGUUGGUGGGAUAAAAGCUUACCAAGCCGACGAUCUGUAGCUGGUCUGAGAGGAUGAUCAGCCACACUGGGACUGAGACACGGCCCAGACUCCUACGGGAGGCAGCAGUGGGGAAUUUUGGACAAUGGGCGCAAGCCUGAUCCAGCCAUGCCGCGUGCAGGAUGAAGGCCUUCGGGUUGUAAACUGCUUUUGUACGGAACGAAAAGCCUUCUUUUAAUACAGGAGGGUCAUGACGGUACUGUAAGAAUAAGCACCGGCUAACUACGUG